CCUGUAGCUCCAUCCUCCUCCGUCCCCCCCGGUGUGAGGGCAGCACUGACCGGGCUGGAGAAAGAGGAGGGGACCUGGUCCUCGGAACCGUUCACAGGCAUGGUGAUGUGUCUUAAAGCACAACAAGACGGGGAGUUGUUCCUCAUGGUUGUUUCCUGAUGUUGAUGAGCAGGAUAAAGUACCAGAAUACCAGAGCCCCAGAGAGGCAAACCAGAAGCGGAUGGAGAACCGCUAGCACGGGGCCAGACGUGGUCGUCUCCUGAAGACGAGAUGCUUGAGGUGUCCCACAGUGUGACGCGCGGCGGCAGGUGGUCAUCGCUUCAAACAGCUGCUUCUUCAGUCGCCUUCACGUGAUCAGCCGUCCGCAUUUGCCAUCAUCAGCCAGUGGAACCAUCCAGCAGCUGAUUGAAACUUCAGUGACCGGUACAGUACGAGGCUCUGUCACUGAGGAAGACAAAUACACAUCUGCAUCGGCACCCCUGCGGUUCCAUCUGAAAACAGAUCCUCUCUCCCUCCUGGAGCUAAAACAACAAACCUAAUAUCUGUUUGAACAGAUACCGUGCUUCCCCGUCGUUCUCAUCCCUCUGGAGAGUCCUGUUCCUGUGUUGCUCAUCGUCACGGUGGCCCAGAUCCUGCACUGCACCGGGAGUUAACACAAUACAACACACAUGGAUGAGUGGUUCUGCAAUGCGCUUACAGCAGACGACAGCUCGGCUCACUUUGAAGACGUACAGGUUUGAGAAGCGGUCGGUGCAUCGCUGUGGAGCAGCGCACGAAGAACAAACAGUGAAAUAUUUCCAGAUCUCAUGGUCUGCGGUCGCCUGCAAAGACAAAGCUACUGGCCCACCGCUGUAUGUGUGGGUGAGUGGGUGGGUGGGUCGCUGUGCGUUUCCAGCACAAACAAAAACCAAGACUAAUUUUUUAAAGGUUUGCCAAUUUUUCCUAAAAUUCUCUUCUCUGUUUCCAAAAACAAAUUACUGUUUUUAAUCACAACAGCUCUUCUUUAGUUUUCAACAUGAUAUGCUGCAUAUUCUCAGACGGGCAGGGGAAAAUUCCCAUGCACUGUCAUUCAGAUAGUGAAGAUAAAGGUCAGACUACUUUUGCAAUCUAAUCAUUGUGAGUAGAAGACCAAACACGGCGGAGAUGGAAUUCAGUUUGAGGAGCGCUGAUAAUGAAGAAAUUUCACCAUUUGUAUUUAAAUGUAAAUAUUUACUCCAACCGUACAGUAGUCCUCAUUUCCUCUGCUUAUGCUCAUCGGUUUAGACUGAAAUACUCCAAAAACAACUGGAAAGACCCUCGAGGAUUGAUUCUGAUCCAACCCUCCCUCCUGUGCAACAACACUUGUGGUGAA